AGGCGCGGCGAGGCGGGUGGCGCGCGGCAGCAGGGUUGGGCUCUCGCCGUGAGUCGACGAAGGGAGCGCGGGCGCGCGCCCGCGUCCGCGCACUGAGAGUCGCCUCGGCCGCUCGCUUUCUCGACUCCCGCCUCGCGCCUCGAUCCUGUUCCGCCUCCCUCGGCCCUCCUGCCCGCCCCCACUCGUCGGCCCUCAGGUUCCUGGAAAGUGAAAAUUUCAUUUCUUUGUGGACAGGUACCUAAAAUGUCUCAUUAUUCAUCAAUUAAUGAAAAACAAAUGAAAAUUUGAGAGAGAUAUUCUGAAGAAUAAAAGGAUCAAGUUGGGUCAUUUCUAAAAUCUCAGAGACCUAAUAGGAUGGGGUCUUAGAGAAACAUCUUUUGAGCCACAGACUUCUUUGUUACCAGAAGGAAAAUGAAAGAAGAAAUUUAAAUACCACUUGAAGAGAGUUUCCUCAUCAGCAAAGUCAGAAAAAGUAUGUACCUGAAGGACUGAUUGUAAGGCUGGGAUGAGAGAAUCCAUGUGAUCAGCCCUCACCAACAGGUGCUGCCCAGUUCAUGAGUGCUGCUGCUGUCCUGCCCAAGUACCCAGCUUGCAGAGUGCCAGAGUUAGAGUCCCAGGGGUGUUCUCCACAGCUGCAUGCUUGAUCCAGGCCUAUCAGCAUUGUCUUUGAAUAUUAGCAAAUAAUGGAACAUGGGCCAAGGGUGAACCAUGACGAAUUUGUGUUCCAGCAGCCCUGCUUCUUUAGAAUUGACAGUCUGGCUUCGUGGUUAAUUCACAGCAUCUGAGGAAUACAUCCAAAGAGGGUGAUACUGUGGCAUGAUGGUACCAGGAUUCCAAGUUCAUUCCAGAUCAUUGGGUAGAGACUAGAAAUGUACCGAGCAGUGCGCAAAGAAGAUGAGGAGGGUUCUACAGUUUCUCCAGAUACAUACCAUGACAAUUUGUUUUUUUAAAAAAGAAGAAAGCCUGCAGGAGAUUGUGGGGACAGCAGAAUGUGACUUCCAAGGCUAGGUCCUGAAAGAUGCUGUGACUUUCGCCUGAGUCUCUUGGAUCACUCGCUCUGGGGGAGGACUGCUGUCAUGUCAUGAGGACACUCAGGCAUCCCCAUGGAAAAGUCUGCAUGGCGGCAUGAAGCAAGUCCUUGCUGAAGGUCCAGGGCAUGGCAAGAGAACCUGAGUUUAAGAAGCAGACAUCACCUGCUGGCAGCAGGCAGUAUCCUCUCAGUCAGCCUUGAUGUCCCCUUCCCUGGAUCCUCACUUCUCAUGGCAAUCUCCCCGUCUCCUCAGGUGGGGAUGGGAUGAACAGAUUCAUAGACUAUCCUUUGGGGAACCCUCGUCCUCACGGGAUGUAUGUUCAUGGUGGUGUCUUCGAGUUUGUGCCCUUGUGAAGCAUUCUGGCAGCAAGCAUCUGAACACUUCCAAAAGGGGGCGAUAUUUAGGAGAAAUCGCUCAGCCUGAGUUAGAACAAAUGCAGCUGCUGGUGUCUCUUGGUGCCUGGGAGCCCUAGAGUGUCAGAGGGAGGAGCGUGCACACUGGAACCAGCAGCCUGGUGCUGCGUCUCAGCUCUGUCGCUAACUGGCUAUGCACCUCUGGGCAUGGCACUUAACCCUUCUGAGCCCCAGCCCGCCAUCUGUAAAAAGGGCUUGAUGUGAGGAUUGAAUGAGAUCAUGCAGGGAACACAAUGUCUGGCACUUGGAAGCGUCCACCAUAAAGAGCCAAGGCAGUAGAUGGCCCAGCUGGGUUUGGUCCAGGCAGAGUUUACCCUCUGCCCUGGAGGCUCCAGGAAAUGCUGCCACGUGGCUCCUAUUGCCUUAACCACAUCCGACCUGUUCCUGACAGCUCCCCACAUCUCCAGCUCCUUUGCUGGUGCUCCAGGCACCUCCAAACGUGGCGAGCCCCUCUCCCCUGCCCUCUUGUGGCAGCUGACCUGGCAGGAGUGGGACCAAGACAUCCAAGGCAGCUCCUUUCCACCUGCAUGGGCACUUUCCUCAGGACAUCCUUGCCCCUGGCACCACCUUGGGCCAGCAAGCCACAUGGAAAUGGAUGCAGAGGCACCACUGUUUGCUGACAAUUAUACACUGUCCUUAAGGUCACCCUUGGCGAUCUGUCACCAGGAGCAGACAAACCCACACCUCAACCAUCCCAUCAGAGCUUGUUUCUAUCUGCAUCUGUCAUCGCUGAUCGCAUUUGAAUGGGUUUAGUCUCUAUUUUAAAUAAAAGAUUUAUGCCUUAGCUGUCAGAGCCUGCCUUUAUUUGAAAAUUUAAUCUUGUUUCUAGGAGUCUAGAUUAACUUAUUAGAUUUAGGCGUCCCUCGUGGGUCUCUGAGAGAGGAGGAGUAGAUUCUCCUCCCUGCAUUCGGCCCUGCACACCCGACAGUGAGAGCCAAGAGCUGGAUGGGCUUCUCCAUCCAGCACGCCCAGGCUGGACAGAGGCCCCCAACUCAGGCAACUUUGUCGGGUAACCGUGUGUCCAGGGAGUGCUUUCUUGCACGCUCCGUCUCCGGGCCAGCUUCCAGGACCUGUGCUCACUGCAAGGGACACCCAUCAAGCCGGCCCUUUCUCAGAGGUUUUGGGGAGGCUUCAGGAAGGACCCCCAGUGGGGGCCCAGCUUGUCAACAUGGGCUGUGCCAAGGAGUUCUGAGUUUCCUUCAGGUCUGUAUUGUAUCUUCCACCCCCUCAGAGCUCCCUCCCUACUGCUUAGACCACACGAAGCUGUGGGGCUGUGGGCAGCCAGUUCACUUCCCUGACCUUGUCUGCAGGUGGAGACAGUGGCAGUGCCCCUCCCGGGCUGCUGCGUCACUCAGUGUAAAAGCAGGGAGGCACUGGAGAGCUGCUGUCUGCAAGUUUGUUGCUACUUCAAAAGGUGCAGGUGGGCCCUCACCUCCUUUAGAGGUGAGGAUGAGCUACCCAAAGUGAAAAGGAGCUUCUCAGCGUCGCAAUGGAGUCACGGCCAGGCUGCCCACACCAGCCGUCCGGACCUGCACCAGUGCCACGGGGUCUGCCCCAUCUUCUCUUCCCUCUCCUUCCCCUCUCCCUCUCUCUCCCUGUCUCUUUCUCCUCUCUCCAUGCUAUUGACUGAAUGUUUGAAUUCCCUGCAAAUGCAUUCCUAACCCCCAAUGUGACUGUGUUUGGAGACAGGGUCUUUAGGAGGUAACUGAGGUUAAAUGAGGUUGUAAAGAUGGGGCCCUGAACCGAUGGGACUGGGGUCCUUAUGAGAAGAGGAAAAGGGGUCCCUCCCCAUGGAGGGACGACCACAGCGAGGCAGCAGCCGCCCACACGCCAGAGAAGGGGACUCAGACGGAAGCCUUGCUUCACCGGCACCUUGAUCUUG
ensembl:lncRNA novel transcript, antisense to CBLN1